AUCCAAAAGUCAUCACAAAACACAAAAAGUUGAACGAUUUUACCAUUCUUCACCCCAAGAGGCAAAACAUUUCUAACAAAUAAUCAUAACAUAAGAACUAGAGAGGUUUCACCAUUCUACAUCCCAAAGGGCAAUAUUCACAAGUCAUCAUAACACAAGAAUUAGAGAUGUUUCGCUAUUCUUCAUCCCAAAAGGCAAUAUUCACAAGUCAUUAAAGCACAAGAACUAGCACGGUUUUACCAUUCUUCACCCCAUAGGGCAAUUUUCACAAGUCAUCAUAACACAAGAAUUAGAGAUGCUUCGCUAUUCUUCAUCCCAAAAGGCAAUAUUCACAAGUCAUUAAUUCACAAGUCAUUAAAGCACAAGAACUAGAACGGUUUUACUAUUCUUCACCCCAAAAGGCAAUAUUCAAAUGUCAUCAUAACACAAGAACUAGAGAGGUUUCACCAUUCUACAUCCCAAAGGGCAAUAUUCACAAGUCAUCAUAACACAAGAAUUAGAGAUGUUUCCCUAUUCUUCAUCCCAAAAGGCAAUAUUCACAAGUCAUUAAAGCACAAGAACUAGAACGGUUUUACCGUGGUACAUCCAAAAGGGCAAUAUCCAAAAGUCAUCACAAAACACAAAAAGUUGAACGAUUUUACCAUACUUCACCCCAAGAGGCAAAACAUUUCUAACAAAUAAUCAUAACAUAAGAACUAGAGAGGUUUCACCAUUCUACAUCCCAAAGGGCAAUAUUCACAAGUCAUCAUAACACAAGAAUUAGAGAUGUUUCGCUA